rnacentral:lncRNA from 1 species
GGAGAUUAUAACAGCACAUGGCCAAGAUGUUCAAAUGUUCAUAAAUGACCAGCAUGGUCAAAUAAUAAUAAUCAUAGUAGUUGUCGAGGGUGCAACAAGUCAGUAACACAAGAGUAAGUGUCAGUUGGCUUUUUCAUAGCCGAUCUUUGAGAGUAUCUCUACCGCUCCUGCUGUCUCUAGAGAGUUGAAAACAGCAGGUCUGGGACAGGUAGCACAUCCGGUGAACAGGUCAGGGUUCCAUAGCCGCAGGCAGAACAGUUGAAACUGGAGCAGCAGCACGGCCAGGUGGACUGGGGACAGCAAGGAGUCAUCAUGCCAGGUAGUCCUGAGGCAUGGUCCUAGGGCUCAGGUCCUCCGAGAGAAAGAAAGAAAGAGAGAAAGAGAGAAUUAGAGAGAGCAUAUUUAAAUUCACAUAGGACACCGGAUAAGACAAGAGAAAUACUCCAGAUGUAACAGACUGACCCUAGCCCCCCGACACAUAAACUACUGCAGCAUAAAUACUGGAGGCUGAGACAGGAGGGAUCAGAAGACACUGUGGCCCCAUCCGAUGAUACCCCCGGACAGGGCCAAACAGGCAGGAUAUAACCCCACCCACUUUGCCAAAGCACAGCCCCCACACCAUUAGACCUCUCCUUAGACCUCUCCUCUGAGGAGGGUCAUUAACAUUAGACCUCUCCUUCACUCUGAGGAGGGUCAUUAACAUUAGACCUCCCCUCUGAGGAGGGUCAUUAACAUUAGACCUCUCCUUCACUCUGAGGAGCAUCAUUAACAUUAGGCCUCUCCUCUGAGGAGGGUCAUUAACAUUAGGCCUCUCCUCCACUCUGAGGAGGGUCAUUAAUAUUAGGCCUCUCCUCCCCUCUGAGGUGGGUCACUAACAUUUGGCCUCCCCUCUGAGGAGGAUCAUUAACAUUCGGCCUCUCCUCUGAGGAGGAUCAUUAACAUUCGGCCUCUCCUCUGAGGAGGAUCAUUAACAUUCGGCCUCUCCUCUGAGGAGGAUCAUUAACAUUCGGCCUCUCCUCUGAGGAGGAUCAUUAACAUUCGGCUUCUCCUCUGAGGAGGAUCAUUAACAUUCGGCCUCUCCUCUGAGGAGGAUCAUUAACAUUCAGCCUCUCCUCUGAGGAGGAUCAUUAACAUUCGGCCUCUCCUCUGAGGAGGGUCAUUGACAUUAGGCCUCUCCUCCCCUCAUGGUGGCAACAUCAUCAUUAAGAUAGCCUGCAAUGAUAUGUAUUCACUUGGAUGCAAAUUAAUAUUUAAUAUGUGCCAGUUCCCAAACUAAUACUGUGAUGACUGUAAUAGUUUGUCUUCUGAUAAGGAAUCCUACUGAUUGUAGCCUUGAGGUACGUGCACUAAGGAGUAAUAUAAUUAAAUAAACAUACUUCUGACCUGGGUAAAAGAUACCGGCAAGCAUCAUGCUGUUUAUUCCUAAACAUCUAACCAAGGUUGGUGUCUUCAGAUCUAAAAAAAAGGGACUGAAAUGACAACCUCCCUCCCUUCCCAGACAGGGCAUUUAACGUCUGUCCCCACCACCUAUUCUGUUCUUCUGUGUGGGAUAUAAAUAGACAUAUAUUUAGCAUAUCAAAGGGGAGUCUGCAGAAAGAGAGGAAGAAGAAAAAUACAACCCCCUGUACUCCAAGAGCAAAUACUGUCCCUCUGCUAAACACACGCAUCCUACUGUAGCUCUACCUGUGUAGAGAAUUACCUUAGCACACAGCCCCUCAAAGAGAAAAUACUGUCCCUCUGCUAAACACAACACUGUCUGACGCAUCCUACUGUAGCUCUACCUGUGUAGAGAAUUACCUUAGCACACAGCCCCUCAAGGAGAAAAUACUGUCCCUCUGCAAAAACACACGCAUCCUACUGUAGCUCUACCUGUGUAGAGAAUUACCUUAGCACACAGCCCCUCAAGGCUAUUCUGCUGUUAUUUCAUAGCCUGUUGAAGAGCAAAGAUAUUAACAAAUGUUUCUGCAACAACAGACUACACGGCAUGCCUGAACCGUUUUCCACAGUACAAAAUGGGAGACUUUGAGAGUGUGAUGGUAAAUAAAUAUCAACAUUUAAGCUACUGCCAUGCAAGCAUUUAUUUUCAUUCCACUGCUUGACAGUGUAGAAUAUUCACGAGGCUCUUUGUGAAGUAGCCUACUAAUGCACUUGCAUUACGUAACCUAUAGCUGAUGUAACUGGGUCCAUAGGCUAUAUAGACAACCCAGUCGUUCGGCUUCAUGUGAUGCCAUGUAACCUUAUAAACUUUUUUUUUUGUAUAAUUGUAUCCUAGCCUACAAUACAGUCAACAUUCAGGAGUGCAUACUGUACUGUAACCUAUACGUACCAAGACAAUAAAGUAGGUAAAAUGUUCAGCCAGAUGAGGGCGCUACCUUUGAUUUCUACAUGUGAGAGAAACCUCUGCAGGGAGAAUCUCAAUUGUAUACUGUACUCCUCAAGUCCUCUCUCCUCACCUCCUUCUCAAAACCCUUUGGAGGAUGUCAGAGGGGAGGCCUCUGACUUUCUCAUCCAAUGGAUUUUGAGAAGGAGGCAAGGAGAGAGGACGCAAGGAUUAUGCAAUUGGGAUUCUCAUUGAGAUUCUCCCAAUAUCACACUGCCCAUAACGUCGGUUCACUGGCGCACCCAUGUAUCCUCAUGUCAAAACUGAAGGGGCAGGGAAAAUAGGAUACAUUCAUAUUACAAUAGCCUACUUUUACUGUCACUGUCAUUCAGACUUUACCUAUAAUUGAUUAAGCCUGUAUCUUGUUCUCCGCAUAGUCAAAAAAAUAAGCUUGUAGUGUUUUGUCACUGUGCCAUUAAAACGUUGUUCACUUGGAGAGCUCUUUGCGUUUCACACAUUUGGAGCUAUUGUCUCUCAAGUAUGAAUAUUAUUUGAACAAACAGGUGAAGUCUAGGCUAAAAUUGAGUGGUUUCUAUUAUUGACUUCACACGAGGGAGCAUCCACCUGUUGUCUGAAAACUAAAGUGAUGCUGAAUUCCAGUUGGGCUGCAUUUCCACAGGCAGCCAAAUUCAUAUCUUUUUUUCACAUUAGAUCUUUUCACAUAAGAUAUAUUUCAGAGCUGAUCUGAUUGGUUAAAGACCAACUAGUGACGUUUUUUUUAAAUCAGAAAUGGGCUUUUUACACAAGAACCCAAUUCUAAUAUUUUGCCUUUAUUGGUAAAUAACUGAUCUGAUGGGUCAAAAGACUAAUAAUUGGGAGAAAAAAAAUCUGAAUUAGGCUGCCUGUGUAAAUGCAGCCAUAAUGUCUAACAUAAAAUCGCUAUCCAAGUAGCCUACUCAAAAACAAUAUGAGCGGUAGUGUCUGUUUAUGUUACUUCCCUCAGCAAUGUUUGCCUUGCAUUGACUGCAGUCCACGUUGAAUAAUAGUCCACAUUAGAAUGCCGCUCACGUUCUCUGUCGUUUUAAACACUCCAAUCAUAAAAUAUAAUGCAGGCGCCGACCCCUCUUGAACUGUCAGGUAAGCGACUUCAUCCUCAAACGAAGUCUACCGUAUGAUCUCGAUCCAAUAGGCUAUAGCACAAUGCGUGAUGCAUAACCAUUUCUGUUGAUCAUCAUAACGACAAGAAACACAAUUCCAAAGCUGUUAAAUUAACCUACUACUAAAAUCAUUCAUGUCAAGGUCUGAAGUUUUCCGUUU